rnacentral:misc_RNA from 1 species
GCACGUGGUCACACACACGUUUCGCCAUUUUCCUGUGUGGAGUCCAUGCGAGGAGGGCGUGUGGAAGAUGUCUCAAAGGAAGGAUGUCGGUUGCAGCCCUUUCUCUUCGUUUAAAUGCCAUUUUAAUGCGAGCAUUUGUAUUAGUGAUACCGGUGGAGGCUUACCUAGCUCGGCAGUGAACAUCUAUGCAGUGCUCAAAGAUGACACCACACUGACCCUGUUAGUAACAACCUGAAACUGUCUUGAAAGAGCAAGCUGAGAGGUCAUGUAAUUAUAUGGCAUUGACAUCAACUGCUUGUCAAGUUGUCAGUAGUUCAAGUGCACAUGCAGAGGAAAAUGGACGACACUUCCUAGAAGUACUUACUCGGGACCACCAGGAGGAAAGUCUUGCAACAAGAGCAGACAUCCUGUCAGGAAUUUUAACAUUGUUGUGCCUUGAACGAUUGCUGUCCAGUGAAAACAUGCAUAGGAGAGGUGUGAUGUCUGUCCUGCAGAACUGAUGCUACCUUUGUUACAGAAGGUAGAAACUGAAAAAGGCAGAGGUUUAAUGCUGUGGGUGAAGUUCACAGAACAGGAAAAGGUAACCUUGACCAACACCAGCAGCAGUCUACACGGAUCUGCAAUUCUAUCAGUGGCUGUAGUCUUUCCUUUGAACCUGCUCGUUUGGUACCCAAGGUUUCUAAAUGGAACUUCCCUGAGCCCACUCUCCCAGAUGCAUGGGAAGUGUUGGCUGCAUGCUGUGGUAUGACACUGACUGACAAUAAAUCAAUGAAGUUACAA